rnacentral:rRNA from 1 species
GAUGAACGCUGGCGGCGUGCCUAAUACAUGCAAGUCGAGCGAACAGACGAGGAGCUUGCUCCUCUGACGUUAGCGGCGGACGGGUGAGUAACACGUGUAUAACCUACCUAUAAGACUGGGAUAACUUCGGGACACCGGAGCUAAUACCGGAGAAUAUAUUGAACCGCAUGGGUCAAUAGUGAAAUACGGUUUUGCUGUCACUUAUAGAUGGAUCUGCGCCGCAUUAGAUAGUUGUUAAGGUAACGGCUUAGCAAGGCAACGAGGCGUAGCCGACCUGAGAGGGUGAUAGGCCACACUGGAGCUGAGACACGGUCCAGAGUCCUACGGGAGGGAGCAGUAGCGAAUCUUCCGCAAUAGUCGAAAGCCUGACGGAGCAACGCCGAGUGAGUGAUGACGGUCUUCGGUUCGUAAAACUCUGUUACUAGGUAAGAACAAAUGUGUACGUAACUAUGCACGUCUUGACGGUAACUAAUCAGAAAGCAACGGCUAACUACGUG